rnacentral:misc_RNA from 1 species
GGAAUAUUGGACAAUGGGCGCAAGCCUGAUCCAGCCAUGCCGCGUGAGUGAUGAAGGCCGUCGGGUUGUAAAGCUCUUUCACCCACGACGAUGAUGACGGUAGUGGGAGAAGAAGCCCCGGCUAACUUCGUGCCAGCAGCCGCGGUAAUACGAAGGGGGCAAGCGUUGUUCGGAAUGACUGGGCGUAAAGGGCGCGUAGGCGGUUCGUUGCGUCAGAUGUGAAAGCCCCGGGCUCAACCUGGGAACUGCAUUUGAUACGGGCGGGCUUGAAUCCAAGAGAGGGUGGUGGAAUUCCCAGUGUAGAGGUGAAAUUCGUAGAUAUUGGGAAGAACACCAGUGGCGAAGGCGGCCACCUGGCUUGGUAUUGACGCUGAGGCGCGAAAGCGUGGGGAGCAAACAGGA